GCAUAUCAAUAAGCGGAGGAAAAGAAACCAACAGGGAUUGCCCCAGUAACGGCGAGUGAAGCGGCAAUAGCUCAAAUUUGAAAUCUGGCUCUUUCAGGGUCCGAGUUGUAAUUUGCAGAGGGCGCUUUGGUGUCGGCAGCGGCCUAAGUUCCUUGGAACAGGUCAUCAUAGAGGGUGAGAAUCCCGUAUGUGGCUGCUUGUCUUCACCGUGUAAAGCCCCUUCGAUGAGUCGAGUUGUUUGGGAAUGCAGCUCUAAAUGGGAGGUAAAUUUCUUCUAAAGCUAAAUAUUGGCCAGAGACCGAUAGCGCACAAGUAGAGUGAUCGAAAGAUGAAAAGCACUUUGGAAAGAGAGUCAAAAAGCACGUGAAAUUGUUGAAAGGGAAGCGCUUGCAGCCAGACGUGCCUGUAGUUGCUCAUCUGGGGAGUUCCCCAGUGCACUCUUCUAUGGGCAGGCCAGCAUCAGUUCGGGCGGUUGGAGAAAGACCUGUGUCACGUAGCUCUCUUCGGGGAGUGUUAUAGGGCAGGUGGAAUGCAACCAGCCUGGACUGAGGUCCGCGCAUCUGCUAGGAUGCUGGCGUAAUGGCUGUAAGCGGCCCGUCUUGAAACACGGACCAAGGAGUCUAACAUCUAUGCGAGUGUUUGGGUGUCAAGCCCGAGCGCGUAAUGAAAGUGAACGGAGGUGGGAACCCCUCGGGGUGCACCAUCGACCGAUCCUGAUGUCUUCGGAUGGAUUUGAGUAAGAGCAUAGCUGUUGGGACCCGAAAGAUGGUGAACUAUGCCUGAAUAGGGUGAAGCCAGAGGAAACUCUGGUGGAGGCUCGCAGCGGUUUCUGACGUGCAAAUCGAUCGUCAAAUUUGGGCAUAGGGGCGAAAGACUAAUCGAACUAUCUAGUAGCUGGGUUCCUGCCGA
rnacentral:rRNA from 1 species